GCAAGUGGAGGAAAGCGAAAGAGAGAAAAAGAAGGGAGGGGAAGAGAGAAAGAAGGAAGGGCGAGGGACAGGCCCGAGCCUGUCAGUGGCCUGAGGGGAACAAUUGGCCACGGCGGCGGCAGCAGCAAGGAAGGGCCCAGUCAGCCACUGCUGCUGUUUGGGGCUACCAAGACUAUUUGGAAGGAGGCAGGAAAACAAGGGAUGGCCCCAGGCUGUCAGCACCCUGAGGAGAACGAGCGGCCAUGGUGGUGGCUGCAGCAAGGAAGGGCCUGGUCAACUGCUGCUGUUCUUGUAGGGAGGAGCAGGAGCGGGGCUCAGGAGCUUCAAUCUGCAAGUUGUCUUGGGAGAUCCAGUCUAGCCGCACCCACAACAUGCUUCCAAAAAUACUAGUUCAUCCAAUAUAGAAACAAAUGCCGGAAGUGCAUUACUUAACUUUAUGUCAGAAUACGGUGAAAUCAAGUGAUUCUCCUCCAUGAACUUCUAUGCAUUCGCAAGACAGCAAACAUCAUCAUCCCUAUACUGUGGUCCAUUAUAAAGGCUCAUCCAUGACACAGAUAUGCUGACAAUUCACAAACUCAGCUACAAAAUUACUAUAUUCUCAAAGCAAGAAAAAUAAAUUCUGCUAGUUGCAUUUUAUGGUGGAAGCAAUUUACUGAAGAAAAACCCUCUAAAGCCAAAUAACGUCAAUGAAAUUUUUUUAUAAUUCAAACUCUUUUUCAAACAAGCAUUUAAUUUUCUGAAGCUAGUAGCUUGUUUAGCUGGCAUCCAUAACAUUAUUUUUUUCCAAAAAAUGCAGAUCAGAAUGUAAGGUUAAGAGGUAAAAAGAUAACUGCAAUAUAGUACCAACCUAUAGUUACUUUUACAGCCACUCCUAUGUAGGGAAGAAAAUGUUAUAAACUAUGAGCCAUUUAUGCCAAAACAUGACUAAUAAGCCAUAUAAACCUUCUUUCAAUAAAUUGCCUGUUUACCUUU